CUAUUAGAGCUUUAUUUUGUUGCUUUAAAGGUGUCAUAUUUCCUUGAUUCUUUGUAUAUAUAUAUUUUUGAAGACUUGCGCUGCUAUCUUCACAUUUGAAGAAGCGGUCACCUCCUUUAGUCUUACUUGUUUCUUAUUAAAAUUUUUUUAAUGUUUUUUUUUAAGAGAUGGGAUCUCACUAUGUUGCCCAGGGUGGUCUCAAACUCCUGGCCUCAAGUGAUCCUCCCACCUCAGCCUCCCAAAGUGCUGAGAUUACAGGUGUAAGCUACCAUGCCUGGCUGUCCCCCAGUCUUUGUUGACUGGCUUUGGGAGAGAAAGACCUUCAUCAGUCAUCCUAGCUAAGGAUUUGAGGGAUCGCUCAGAUCUUUUCUGUAGAUACACCCACUCUACUCCUGUUGCUCCCUCUUAGGGAGAGAAGUCUUAGGUUGUAAGCUCCUCUCAAUCCUCCAAAGCUGGGUCUACACUGAGCACCUCCCAUUUUCCCUAAUGCAGUGCUCUGAAGCAUUCAAGGUUGGGCACCUUCUCCCAGUCCAGCAGAGUCAAGCCGGCUGCUCAGAUUUGCAUCUGCCGUUGAGAUCUGUGUACUGUUUGGGAGGAGGGUGCAUGAGACACCAUAUGCUCAGGGGUACGUGGAGUGCUGGGGGCAUGGAUCAGUUGGUUGGGGGGCCCACAGGCAAGUUGUUCUGUGGGUUCAUGGGCGGGCCUCCUGGUGGAGUGUUAGCUGGUUAGUGGGAUCCAUGGCUGGCUGUUGGUUGCUAGGCAUGUCCUUCCCUUCUCCUAGCAGUCCCCAGGUGACUCAGCCAUGCUGAUUCCUCAGUGUUCUGGGGAGAGACACAGGUGGGCUAUUGGGCAGCAUCCUAUAAGGUUGGGGAAGCUGGUGCUCACUCAGCACUCAGUUUCCCCUGUGGGAGAAACCACAGGCCCAGGGGGGCCUCAUUGGAGGAGCACUAGCACAGGUAAACUGAACCUUCUUAGCCUCUUCGGUGUGCUCUCUUUGCCCUGUGGGGUGCUAGAACCUCUCAGUGUUUCUGUGGGGGCAUGAGGGCUGGAACCUCCUAUUCUGUCACCUUCCUGGCCUCUUCCUACAAUUAUUUUUAUGCUCAAAUUGCCCCCGAUUUGGACAGGGGGAGAGCCUUCAGGCUGCUCCUCCAGCCCUCUCACAUGUCCCCAACGUUGUUCAGCAUUUCCUUAUUUUCCAGCACUAGACAUUCUAAGGCUCACCCUGUACUCUCUCUGCUCUUCCCUGGAAAUAGUCAUUUCUCCAAAGAGUUCUGUUCCCUUGGAAUAGAGAAUGGUAUUUACAAACCAAGAAAUGGAUUUCAGGUGUGCCAGUUGUUUCUGGGGUGGCAUUGCUUCUAGGCCCCUUCGGUGGACAGAGCUGGGAAAGAAACUGUGUGUAUCAUAUAUAUCUGCACACGUAAGCUGUGUGUGUAUCAUAUAUAAUACAUCUGCACAUAUAAACUGUGUAUGUAUCAUAUAUAAUACAUCUGCACUUAUAAACUGUGUAUGUAUCAUAUAUUAAUACAUCUGCACAUAUAAACUAUCAUCUGUACAUAUAAACUGUAUAUCAUAUAUAUCUGCACAUAUAAACAGUAUCAUAUAAUACAUCUGCACAUGUAAACUGUAUCAUAUCUGCACAUAUAAACUGUAUAUCAUAUAUAUCUGCACAUAUAAACUAUCAUAUAUAAUACAUCUGCACAUACAAACUAUCAUAUCUGCACAUAUAAACUAUAUCAUAUAUAUCUGCACAUAUAAACUAUCAUAUAUAAUACAUCUGCACAUACAAACUAUGUAUCAUAUAUAAUACAUCUGCACUUAUAAACUCUGUGUAUCAUACAUAAUACAUCUGCACAUAUAAACUAUCAUAUCUGUACAUAUAAACUGUGUAUAUCAUAUAUAUCUGCACAUAUAAACUGUAUCAUAUCUACACAUAAACUGUAUAUAUCAUAUAAUAUAUGCGCAUAUAAACUAUCAUAUAUCUGCACAUAUAAACUAUGUAUCAUAUAUAUCUGCACAUAUAAACUGUGUGUAUCAUAUAUAGUACAUCUGUACAUAUAAACUGUAUCAUAUACAUCUGCACAUAUAAACUAUCAUAUAUAAUACAUCUGCACUUAUAAACUGUGUACCAUAUAUAUCUGCACAUAUAAACUGUAUCAUAUAUAUCUGCACAUAUAAACUAUCAUAUAUAAUACAUCUGCACAUAUAAACUGUAUCAUAUAUCUGCACAUAUAAACUGUGUGUAUCAUAUAUAUCCGCACAUAUAAACUGUGUGUGUAUCAUAUAUAUCUGCACAUAUAAACUGUGUGUGUAUCAUAUAUAAUACAUCUGCACACAUGCUUCUCUGUAUUGAAAACCAAAUUGUCACGGACCACUCCCAUUCUCACGCAGCAUUUAGGGCUGUGGCUAGCCUUUCCCAGCUGUAAGAAACCUGUCUUUCAGCAUGAUAAACACAUUUACUUAUUUGCUCAGUCCUCUAAUAUGCAGAAAGUAGUUUUAGAAUUGCCAAAACCAUACAACUUGGAAAAACAAGCAUGAUUACUUCAAGAUGUGUUUGUAGCUCCUUCUGUCCUGGCAUUGGACGUGGAGAGAAAGCACAGACUGUUCCAAGUUUCAUUUUUCCCCUUCUCUGAAACGCAGAGAGCGUUGUUUGUUUCUGUUUGUAUUUCAUUUGGGUCCUCCCUCUAGCCUUAUUCAUAAAUUUGUAAAUGAUCUUUAACAAUCUGUUAUAUUUAUGAUGUUUUACUGCGUGCUGCCUGUGAAAAUGUUUCCUUCUUCUGACACGUUCCAGAACAACUAGGCUUUUAAAUUCCAAAUAUUCCUGUUUCACAAUAAACCAGAUGAGGGCCUCUGUUGUGCCACAGCUUUUGGAAUGUGGUUUAUUACCAAUAGAAGUGGCUGCGUGGCUUGUUAUGGUUUCAAUUACACGUGAGUAACAACCGGGGCCCUUCUGUGUCAGGUGCUGCUGAUCAAGGCUGGCUAAUGGGGACCUCGCUGUCCAGAACGGGCGUUUCCCAUGGCCCGGCCCAGCUGUUUACCACUUCUGUCUACCAUUUCAGAGGGGCUUUGCGGAGAUUAAAUGAGGUGAAGCGCUCUGAGAACCUCAGUCCUAAAGAAUAGCAGUUAUACUGGUUUUUGUAUUAUAUUUAUAUAUUCUUCUUGUUAAUAUACUGGUUUUAAUGUUCAUCGUUCUCUUGGGAUCCCAUGACAGUGAGCCUGGUGUACCUGAGGUCUGGGAUACUCACACCUCUCCCCAGUCCCAUGCUCCCCACUGUGGCAGUGCCUGUCAGGGACCCUGCUGACCCCAGGAAGCCUCGGUGUCCCCAGCGCUGGCUCUGCUCACACAGGCAGCAGGCUUAGUGUUCUCUGGCCUGGCUGCACUGACUGGACCAGGGACAGGGGAAGGGCCCCAAAGCACCCUGUUCCAGGCAGCCGGCCAGUCGUGGCCGAGGAGCUCCAUUCAACAGUGGCACCCAGAGGGGCCAGGGUCUCAUAAAGCUGGUCAGACGCCCCCUCUGGGUAGGGGUGUAGGAAGCGGCUGUGCAGCCGGGUCCCAGGUAGGGAGGCAUAGAGUGAAGGCUGUGAGCAGGAGCCCUGGGGCGGAGGGCCAGGAGAAGGCUGGGCACAGGUCCAUCGGUGGCAGCUGGGUGGGCAGAGCAGAGAGGCUGCAUCUGCACGACGGCAGGGCCCUGGUGUGGGAACAGCAGACGGGGCCCCUGGGUGCGGCGCCUCCUUCCCACAUCCCUGCUGCUCCUGCAUCUGCUGCUGGAGAAGACCACGACGUGCUCAGACCCCGGCACUGGAGAACUCCAGAUGUGGUGAGGGCUGCACGUUAGCUGCAUACGCACAUCUGGAAGGUGAGGCAGACGUGCCCACCGCCUCCAUGCCUGGCCCACAGUUGUGGGCAUGCAGAGCUCCUCUGUGGCAGGCCCAGGCUGCACCAGCUGCCUGGAGAGGCACUGGGGGCGGGGCCUCACUUGAGGGGCAGAUUCUCCCACCCAGCCAGUCCAGGCCCAGCGGCUGGAGCAUCCCGUCCAGCAAAUUGUCCUGCAAGUUGCCCUGGAGACCCAGCGUCUCUCAUCACGUCUCACUCCCCUGCCAGAUGCCUCUGCGGCAAUAACGAGAGUGGCUCUGCCUUCUGCACUGAAUGCCGACAGGUGACCAGAACAUGACACUGGGGUUAUGCAGUGCCCUGGUUGAUAUUCUAGUUCAUCAGGGAGCUUCUGGAAUGAUUUUUUUUUUCUUUUUUUUUUUUUUUUGAGACAGAGUCUCUCUCUGUCGCCCAGGCUGGAGUGCAAUGGAGCAAUCUUGGCUCACCACAACCUCUGCCUCCGGGGUUCAAGUGAUUCUCCUGUCUGAGCCUCCUGAGUAGCUGGGAUUACAGGUGUCCACCACUAUCACUCAGUUAAUUUUUAUAUUUUUAGUAGAGAUGGGGUUUCACCAUGUUGCCUGGGCUGGUCUCAAACUCCUGACCUCAGGUGAUCUGCCUCCUCAGCCUCCCAAAGUGCUGGGAUUACAGGCAUGAGCCACCUCACCCAGCCAACUUUCUUUUGCUUCACUUUUCCUCUGGUUGCCCCAUCUUUAUUGUCAAGUCCUGUUAAGAGGAACAACAUUAAAAUGAGAGCUUUCAUGGCAAAAAGGUUGCUGUGGGUUGAGCUUGCAAUGUUAGCUGCGUGUUAGGAUUCAGCUGACAUCUGUCUCUGGAGUCUCGCCCUUUCUGUAAUUCGCUUUUGACUGUAAUAAAUGUUGUACAGGCCAGGUGCAGUGACUCACACCUGUAAUCCCAGCACUUUGCAAGGCCAAGGCAGGUGGACCACGAGGUCAGGAGAUCGAGAUCAUCCUGGCUAACACGGUGAAACCCCGUCUCCACUGAAAAUACAGAAAAUUAGCUGGGUGUGGUGGCACCUGCCUGUGGUCCCAGCUAUU
rnacentral:lncRNA from 1 species